CCUACGGGCGGCUGCAGUGGGGAAUCUUGCACAAUGGGCGAAACCCUGAUGCAGCGACGCCGCGUGAACGAUGAAGCCCUUCGGGGUGUAAAGUUCUUUCGACGGGGACGAUAAUGACGGUACCCGGAGAAGAAGCUGCGGCUAACUACGUGCCAGCAGCCGCGGUAAUACGUAGGCAGCAAGCGUUGUUCGGAAUUACUGGGCGUAAAGAGUGCGUAGGCGGUUAACUAAGUUUGGUGUGAAAUCUCCCGGCUUAACUGGGAGGGUGCGCCGAAAACUGGCUAGCUAGAGUGUGGGAGAGGAUAGUGGAAUUCCUGGUGUAGCGGUGAAAUGCGUAGAUAUCAGGAGGAACACCUGCGGUGUAGACGGCUAUCUGGACCAUGACUGACGCUGAGGCACGAAAGCGUGGGUAGCAAACAGGAUUAGAUACCCCAGUAGUC
rnacentral:rRNA from 1 species